CCUACGGGGAGCAGCAGUGAGGAAUAUUGGUCAAUGGACGAGAGUCUGAACCAGCCAAGUAGCGUGAAGGAUGACUGCCCUAUGGGUUGUAAACUUCUUUUAUAUGGGAAUAAAACAGGGUAUGCAUACCCUCUUGUAUGUACCAGAUGAAUAAGGAUCGGCUAACUCCGUGCCAGCAGCCGCGGUAAUACGGAGGAUGCGAGCGUUUUCCGGAUUUAUUGGGUUUAAAGGGAGCGUAGGGGGGAUGUUAAGUCCGUUGUGAAAGUUUGCGGCUCAACCGUAAAAUUGCAGUUGAAACUGGCAGUCUUGAGUACAGUAGAGGUGGGCGGAAUUCGUGGUGUAGCGGUGAAAUGCUUAGAUAUCACGAAGAACUCCGAUUGCGAAGGCAGCUCACUGGACUGCAACUGACACUGAUGCUCGAAAGUGUGGGUAUCGAACAGGAUUAGAUACCCGGGUAGUC
rnacentral:rRNA from 1 species